GUAAAGAAGACCGAUACCUGUGGCAUGGAGGGCGUGAGGCUGGUGUGAGUGCCAAGCACUUGGAGCAGGGCCCUGAGUGAGCAUGGACGUGGGAGCAGGGGUGUUCCUAGACUUCAUGCACCUUGGGGAUGGGAGUGGAGCUCCCUGUGUGGGUUGAUAAGGCAUUGCUUUCCCCCACCCCACCUCUGCCCCAGCCCUGCAAGUCCAGUCCUUGGGGGUCUAGGAGGGAAGAAGCCCCUGGCUGUGAGUCCUCGAGAUGGACCCUGGCCCUCUCUGGCUCUGAGUUCCUGGGAAAGUCGGUGGUGUUGGAACUCCGGAUUCAUUCCUCAGCGUUGAGGCACUGUCUGUGGAAACCGUGGGACAAGGUGAAGGGUGUGCAGGUGUGCAGACCCUGACACACACAGUCCCACACAAGAGCCUGAGCUGGCACCGCGCUGAAGAAGGUGGCACCCACUCUGGCGGUCAGUGUGGGUCCAGCCUGGUGGGAGGAUUAUCACAGACUUCAGGGGGCUGGGCAGCCUGGGGGGCCUAAGGGCGGUCAUCUCUUCCAGCCUCCUGCCCUCAACCCCAGAACCCAGGUCUGAGCCCUGGGUCACCCAGGGCCACCCCGGACCCACUGGAAUUCCUCCACCACCACUUGGUCAAAGUUCGGCAGAGGUCUGAGGACGAAGGUCAGCUAGGGAGUCAGGAGAGGAUGGAGAGGGUCACAGCUCUACCAAAGCCUUGUCCAGUCAUCGCCCGUCUUCCCGAGGCCUCUUCCCCGAUCACCCCACUUCACCCAUCCGGUCAGCUCCCCUGAAGUGCCCAGAAGUCAGGGCUGGUUUUGUCCUCCAAGGCCUUGGUGUAGGGCUGGCCCAGGAUCUGCAGCCAAACUUCAUACAGCACCAGCUCCGCCUUCUCCCCUAGAGCGAUGGGGGUGGAGGCGGCAUCAGCGUGCUCUCCCUCUCCUGGAAGCCCUGGGGUGGGGCACGCACCCAAGCUCUAAUGCUCCAUCCAGGGGUCAGCCGCCGCUGGUCUAACGGUCAAAUUUCUUGCUGCCUGUUUUUAUGUGGCCCACGAGCAAAGAAUGGCUUUUACGUGUUUAAAUGGUAGAAAACAUGGAAAGUAGAAUCGUAUCUUGUGACACAUGAGAAGUACGUGACAAGCAAACUUCCACGUCCAUAAAGAAAGUUUCCCGGGAAUGUGGCCACACUCAAUUGUUGACAUGUUGUCUAGGGCUGAUUUCUUGCUACAGGGGAGGGUUUGAGUAGGUGGUGACUAAAAGCCAGUGGUCUGCAGAGCCUUAAAGAGUUUCCUUCUGGCCCUGUACGGAAAACGCUUGCUAACCCCUGCACUGAUCCAUCUAAUGGAAUACACUGCUCACUCCGAGAGUUAAUCCUAGUAGGAAAUGUUGCUGGUAAUUUAAUAGGUGCUGCUUUUAUGUUUUAUUUUGUCCAAAUUCACUCCCUGCGAGGAGGUCGUGUUGGGGCUUGUGGCCAUCAAAGGUGAAGCCUCUUUAAGAGGAUGCGUGGGGAGCUCUACCGUCUGCUGAGAGGGUUGUGAUGGGCCCUCUGUGUUGAGGAAUGAAGAGGGAACACUGCCUGUCUGCCGGGAGCUGGCUUUCUGGGGAGCAGAAGAGAUGGUGGUUCGGACCCGUGGAGGUGGAGGCCCAAACCAAUCUGGUCUCUGGGGCGGCCGGCAGGGAGAGUAGUUGUGUAGGAGUGGGUGUGAGGGCAGAGCCUGAAGGAGGGUACCCCUGACUGCACCCCCAGGAGGCUGCGGUGGUGGGUGUGGGGCAGCACUGUAGGAGGACCAGCACCUUCUGUGACUGAGGGGUCCUUGUAGAGCAGCUUCAGGCUGUGUGUGGCUGGAGGGGACUGAUUUGCCCUGCGCUCUCCUAACUUGGGUGUGGGCCAGCUCUCCCUGUUUGGAUGGCACGAGCUGGGAGAAGUCAUCCCAUCAGGAGGCCCCCAGAGGAGAUAUGGGUUUCUUACAGCCCCGGUACUGGGACAGAGCUGAGGGUUUUUGCCCCUGACUUGGUGGGACAGAUCUUGGCAUGCAUGUGAGGACUCAGUGAGGUCCUGUGCAAUCAGGGAGGUGACGGGACCCUCUCAUCCCUCUGAUCUUGACUGCUUCUGGCCUCUGUCCAGCUCCUUGCUAAAGCUCUAUGCCCCAUUCCUCUCUAUGGACCCAACAGAUGAGCAAGUAUUGUCUGAAGGAAAUUCUGCCCAUUCUGUAGAAGGGGAACAUUGAGGUUUACAGAGGGGAAGAGCCUGCUGGCCCAGAGACACACAGGGAUCGCAGCCCUACUAAAAAUAUACAAAUUAGCCAGUGUGGUGGCACAUGCUUGUAAUUCCAGCUACUAGGGUGGCUGAGGCAUGAUGAUCACUUGAACCCAAGAGGCAGAGGUUGCAGUGAGCUGUGAUCUCACCACUGCACUCCAGCCUGUGCAACAGAGCAUGACCCUGUCUCAAAAAAAAGUUAAAAACCAUUUGUCCAGUAUAAACUUUUUCAAAAUACGUACUCAAACAUAGAAAAGUCUAGAAAUGUAAUCAAUAUUAAUUUCAGGAAAGAAUUCUAAGAUGACUUGUUUUGGUUAUCUGCAUUUUUUUUCUUUUAUUUUUUGGACAUAGAGUCUUGCUCUGUCACCCAGGCUGGAGUGCAGUGACCCGAUCAGGGAUCACUGCAGCCUUGACCUCACAGGCUUAAGCCAUCCUCCCACCUCAGUCUCCUGAGUAGCUGCUACUACAGGCACAUGCCACCAUACCUGGCUAAUUUUUGGAUUAUUGUAUUUUUUGCAAAGAUGGGGUUUUGCUAUGUUGCUCAAGCUGGUCUUAAGUGAUCCGCCCACCUCGGCCUCCCAGAGUGCUGGGAUUACAAGUGUGAACCAUGUGUGCCAGGCCUGUUUUCUUUUCUGUAAUGACCAUGACCAUAGAUUUCAUGCACCAACAUUUUUCUAACAAUAGUAUUUACAAAGUGUACUAUGAUAAAUGUUCAGAGAAAAAUAAUACAAAAUUGUAAAAAUCAUACAUAACUAGUUUUUUUGUUUUUGUUUUUUAAAAAAGGAAGAAACAAACAAAGUAUAUUGUCCAGGAAGAUAGUUACUUACCACUUUGUAUUUCUCUGGUGAACUCAUUGGGAACUCUAAAAAGUUCCAGGAGUAGAAUCAUGGGGUCAGAGUACCCUGGCUUUAACUUCUGGUUCAGAGAAUCCUAACAACUUACAUUGUCACCAGCAAGGUGUUUGACUACCUGAGCCACUCUCACCUUAAAUCAAUUCUCAUCUGACAUUAGCUGCUCAGCUUUCUGCUGAUACGUUGACUCCAGGAGGCUCCUUGAGUUCUGUGUGUUUGGCUGGCCUCUGGUGGCCCCAUUAUUAUUUUCUGCCAGGUAAAGGUCAGUCACCUGCUCACAGACCUCAUCACUCAUGAUAUGCUGCAGCUGGAAUCAAACAAAGGCAAGCUGUUAGUGAACACAGAAAACAUUUCUCCGUUAUACAGUUCAAUGCUCCUUUGAUCCAGUCAUUCAACUCAAAAAAGGCUUUGGUUUCCUUUGGCUAGCAAUUUUAGAAAAUUAAUCAUACAAACUACUGUAUCAUUUUCUUGGAGAAUAAUCAAGCCAAGAUUUUCAACCAUAUCAGUGGUCCAUUGUAAAAUUUUCAUAUCUAUUUAAAAUCAAAACCAUAGAAAAUUCAGGUUAAUAUACUUUUAUUGUUGUUGUUUUGUUGCACCCAGGCUGGAGUGCAGUGCGUGAUGGCUUACCACAACCUUUGACUCCUUGGUCCAAGUGAUUCUCCUGCUUCAGCCUCCUGAGUAGCUGGAAUUACAGGCACGCACCACCAUGCCCAGCUAAUUUUUGUGUUUUUAGUAGAGACAGGGUUUCACCAUGCUGGCCAGGAUGGUCUCGAUCUCCUGACCUCAUGAUCUGCCCGUCUUUACCUCCCAAAGUGCUGGAAUUAUAGGUGUGAGCCACAGUGCCCAGCCUAAUGUACUGUUUAUUUAAAAUUCUAAGGAUCUUUAAAUACUUUUCCAUGGAUCAUAUUUUUAUUGCAUUUUAAAAUCAUUUUCAAUUUGCUUUCACACAUAUUCUCCCUCAUCUGAUCCUCACAACUGCCCUGGGAAGCAGGUUGGGGAGAGAGUUGGGGCCGGUUAGGAGACAAAUUUACCCAAUGCAUAAGAAAGCUCACUGUGAGCCGGGUGAGGAAGGGAGCCUUGGAGAAUCAUGAAUGCAGUAUCUAUGUCUAUAUUCCCAGCCCAACUACAAUGCCUGAAAUUAAUUAGGUAUUUAAGAAAUAGCUGCUGAAUUAUUACCUACGAGCGCUCAGCUGAAGAAGCAGGAUUGGGACUAACAGUCAAGCUUCCUGACUCCUAGCCGAAUACCUUUCCAAACACACCACCUAUUUUUCUAUAUCUGAUAAAAAGUACAGUGCUUAAGAUGUACAUAAUGUGAACUCACUUUCAAUACAGGCCACUCAUGAUUCACUAUCAGUAGCUUUUGUGACAAACUUAGUAAACUAGAAAGUUGAACCUUUCAGAGUUCCCAUUCUCAUGUCAUAUGCUGUUUCUGUUUUGAAAUAAAAAUCCUUCCAAAUGAAACUGUAUCCAUCAAAAUGACAGAGAAGUGGAAAUAGACACAAGAAGAAAGUAAAACAGUAAUUUCAACAUCAAUUUGUCUAUUUUGCUUUAAUAGUAUAACCUCCAAGCCAUUCUAUUUUCAGGAAGAUACAUUCUUUUUGAAGUGUUAGAAACCAUGAUAACUAUUCUUAACUUUAAGUCCUAAAUGACCAGUGUGUGUAUUAGUAGAUAACUGGACACAGCAAGGUCAGAAGGGUGACUGAGUGUGGCAGAAAGGGCAGUAUCUCCAGCAACUGCAGAUGGCUAAAUGACAAUGAGUCCAGAUAAUGGAUUCUGAUACAACCAUUCAAAUAAUGCUUAUGAGUACUUGAUAACAUAGGGAAAAGCUUAAGAUACAAUGUUUUAGAGAGAAAAA
rnacentral:lncRNA from 1 species